rnacentral:rRNA from 1 species
UACGUAGGGCGCAAGCGUUGUCCGGAAUUAUUGGGCGUAAAGAGCUCGUAGGCGGCUUGUUACGUCGGUUGUGAAAGCCCGGGGCUCAACCCCGGGUCUGCAGUCGAUACGGGCAGGCUGGAGUGUGGUAGGGGAGACUGGAAUUCCUGGUGUAGCGGUGAAAUGCGCAGAUAUCAGGAGGAACACCGGUGGCGAAGGCGGGUCUCUGGGCCGUAACUGACGCUGAGGAGCGAAAGCGUGGGGAGCGAACAGG